GCGGAGGCGGGUGCUGUGAGGGGCGGCGGCCUGUGGGCCGCGUUCAUGCCAUGGUGGGUGCUUCCCCCCGCUUGUUGCGAGGUCAUCAAAAACGUACCCCGUUUUGUUAUUAUACCUGUUUAUCUCACCGAAGAAAUCAGGCAGGUGCCAGCACUGGCGCAAGGGGAGGGGAACAUAUGGCUGGGAACAGAAGGAAGGUGGGAUUGUGGCAAGCGAUGACUUAAAUUGGUUUGCGGUGAAGCAUUGUGCUAUAGCUUGCAUCAGUCUUUCAGUUCUGCCGUGCCGACUUGAUCUAUGUCUGAUGGGCUAUGUAGAAAGAAAGCACAUCCAGCUUCAAAUGAAACCAUGAAGAGCAAGUCCUUGAAGUAAGGCCUUUGUGUCUCAAGACAAACAUCCAAAAAUAGCAGAUGUUUGAAAUGUUCAUGCUUAAAUUGCUCCACCUUUCUGUCCUUCAUCUAUAAGAUGAAGAUACUAAUAUUAACUUGCCUCAGGAAUUUUGUGAAGAAAAAGAUGCAUUUGUGAAGCACCCAUUACAGUAAGAACAACAUAAAAACCCAAGAGAAAAAUAACUAAAAUACAUUUCUACUCAGUGCUGGUUCUUAAUGGUAUAUACUAAAUAAAGCCCAAGGCUAUACAAUGAAUAAUGAGUAUUAUAAAAACUUUAACAAUUCAAUAAGCACCAUUUGUCUUGCAAGCAUCAUUCAUCUUCCGCACUGAAAAAGGUUAGGAGUCUUGUGAAAAAAUAAAGUAGUUCCACAAGUGCUGGAACUAAACUCUUCCAUGGAUUUGUGCUUAAAGUUGACUUAUUGUGAGCUCUGAUUCAAAGCUGUGGAAUUGGUAUGUGCUUUCGCUGUGUGCUUUCUAUGACUGAAGGAUGAAGUCAAGGAUAGUCUGGGGAUGCACGGGUAUAUUGUUUCUGCAUUGUAACCUGGACAACGCAGAGUUUGCUGACGUAGAUUGACCUGGAAUAAUGCCAAUGAAGAUACUUGGUUCUUAUUUACCACUCCAGGACUGAUGAAGACUUCAUGAUGCUAAACAGAGAUCUUGUUUUUUUUUUUUCCCAGGGACCUGUUGUUAUUCUGAUGUCCUUAUAACACUGACAAAGCUCCUUUCCUUUACUAUGACUCUGUAUUAAAGAGUUUCUUCUCUUUCAUCUGA